GUCUUCUCUUUGAAUCCCUGAUUCAAGAAAUAUAGGAAAAAGACUGGACCAAAACUUAUGUUAGCAUGAAGAUUACUCUGGAUCUAAACCUGUGAAACUGUUUUGAUAUGCAUUGUUCAACAGUGUGAGACCACUAGGAUGCUGUAACCUUAUUUCUACCUUUUUUUUCCUGAGGAAUAAACAGAUCUCAGCUGAUGGGCAGCACUCCAGUCAAAAGUGUUCCAGAGACAGUAACUGCUAGUAACACUACUUUCCAGCAUCUGUGGGUGUCAGAUAUGCAUGAAUAAAAGGGACAGAACCAAAUUAACUGCAAGGAUGCCACAAUGUCUGAAAAGGAUCAGUCCUGGGGAAAAAGACCAGCUCAAAUUCAGCUGAGGCAAAACUGAAGUGAUACUACCUACUAUAUUUUCAUGCAUGUGUGUGUGUUUGUUUAUUUUUCUAGAAAGUGUGUUUCUUUCCUCCUAGUCAAGGACCUGACUCUGGUAAUCCACAGACCAAUCACCUUUAGGCCAUAUUAGAAAGGCUCACCCUCUGAGGAUGUUUUCACACCACAGAUAAAUUUGAAGGGCAGCAAGAAGCGUGGGGGAACAAUGAGGUAUACACACAACUCGUUUGUAGAGCAAUGGGUACUUCUUUUUAUGGGUACUUCAUGCAACAUCAGUCCCAGUUCAGUAUUCUCCAGUGCUAGCUCAAAUCCAGCUUUGAACAUCAUAGUUCUAGCCAAGACACUGCUUUUCAGGACUAAUUCAAAAAUUUAGUACUUCUCAGUUUGAGGAGUCUUUUUUCUUAUACACAGCUAUGUUUUCCUUUUUGCAGUUUAAUUCUAUUGUUAUGAAUUUCAUUUUUGCCUACCUUUCUGUUUCUCUUUAUACAAGAAACUCGGAAGCCACGAGAACUCCAGCAUUUUCUUAGCUCAUUUUGUCCUGAGGCAAUCCUAUCCAAAUGCUUGACGUUGCUCAGCAGUUUAGCUCUGUAAUUUCAGAGAACAAUCCUCACGUUUCUCAAGUGGAUGAGAAGAUACUCCAGACAUUGCCAUCAGCCUCUUGAGUGAGACACAAACUGAGGUCAGAAGGAAAAAAGCUGGCAGCUGAAUUAGCUGUGUCUUAGCAUUGUUACACUUUGGAACUAAUAAAUGACACGUGGUGUACAAACGCAGAAGCCACUCAGCAAAUUAAGUUUGCAAAAGGGAAUAAGUAAAAAGGAAGGAGGCAUGGUUAACCUCCUAACCCUACUGUUCCUUUGUUUUAGUACAAUCUGUUCUGGACCAAGCUCUGCAUUUUUUUAAAUGAUGUUUCCAUUGACUAUGUAAAUAUAUAGUUUAUUAAGAAAUAUAAUUUAGCUGAAGAUUAAAAGAAGCAGUUUAAGAGUUGCAAGUACAAACAGUGAA